AUUGAACGCUGGCGGCAGGCCUAACACAUGCAAGUCGAGCGGAUGAAGGGAGCUUGCUCCUGGAUUCAGCGGCGGACGGGUGAGUAAUGCCCAGGAAUCUGCCUGGUAGUGGGGGAUAACGUCCGGAAACGGGCGCUAAUACCGCAUACGUCCUGAGGGAGAAAGUGGGGGAUCUUCGGACCUCACGCUAUCAGAUGAGCCUAGGUCGGAUUAGCUAGUUGGUGGGGUAAAGGCCUACCAAGGCGACGAUCCGUAACUGGUCUGAGAGGAUGAUCAGUCACACUGGAACUGAGACACGGUCCAGACUCCUACGGGAGGCAGCAGUGGGGAAUAUUGGACAAUGGGCGAAAGCCUGAUCCAGCCAUGCCGCGUGUGUGGAGAAGGUCUUCGGAUUGUAAAGCACUUUAAGUUGGGAGGAAGGGCAGUAAGUUAAUACCUUGCUGUUUUGACGUUACCAACAGAAUAAGCACCGGCUAACUUCGUG
rnacentral:rRNA from 1 species